UCCAAAAACAGAGUGAUCGCAUAGAUUCAGCAUGGCUGAAUCAAAAAUCUGUUGUCAUCAUAUAGACCCAGCAUGGCUGAAUAAAAAAAUCUGUUGUCAUCAUAUAGACCCAGCAUGGCUGAAUCAAAAAAUCUGUUGUCAUCAUAUAGACCUAGCAUGGCUGAAUCAAAAAAUCUGUUUUAAUCAUAUAGACCCAGCAUGGCUAGAUCAAAACAUCUGUUGUCAUCAUAUAGACCCUGGACCCAGCAUGGCUGGAUCAAAAAAAUUGCUGUCAUCAUAUAAACCCAGCAUGGCUGAAUCAAAAAAUCUGUUGUCAUCAUAUAGACCCAGCAUGGCUGAAUCAAAAAAUCUGUUGUCAUCAUAUAGACCAAGCAUGGCUGAAUCAAAAAAUCUGUUGUCAUCAUAUAGAGCCAGCAUGGCUGGACCAAAACAUCUGUUGUCAUCCUAUAGACCCUGGACCCAGCAUUGAUGGAUCAAAACAUCUGUUGUCAUCAUAUAGACACAGCAUGACUGGAUCAAAACAUCUGUUGUCAUCAUAUAAACCCAGCAUGGCUGGAUCAAAACAUCUGUUGUCAUCAUAAAUAGCCAGCAUGGCUGGACCAAAACCUCUGUUGUCAUCAUAUAAACCCAGCAUGGCUGGAUCAAAACAUCUGUUGUCAUCAUAUAGAGCCAGCAUGGCUGGCCCAAAACAUCUGUUGUCAUCAUAUAAACCCAGCAUGGCUGGAUCAAAACAUCUGUUGUCAUCAUGUAGAGCCAGCAUGGCUGGACCAAAACAUCUGUUAUCAUAUAGACCCAGUACUCUCAGAUAUGUGCUUUGUGUCUUCAGUGUUUUUGUUAGUUGUUUUUGUGCUGUGUGUCUUUAGUGUUUUUGUUAGUUGUUUUUGUCCUUUGUGUUUUGUUAGUUGUUUUUGUCCUUUGUGUCUUUAGUGUUUUUGUUAGUUGUUUUUGUCCUUUGUGUCUUUAGUGUUUUAGUUAGUUGUUUUUGUUCUUUGUGUCUUUAGUGUUUUUGUAAGUUGUUUUUGUGCUGUGUGUCUUUAGUGUUUUUCUAGUUGUUUUUGUCCUUUGUGUCUUUAGUGUUUUUGUUAGUUGUUUUUGUCCUUUGUGUCUUUAGUGUUUUUGUUAGUUGUUUUUGUCCUUUGUGUCUUUAGUGUUUUUGUAAGUUGUUUUUGUCCUUUGUCUCUUUAGUGUUUUUGUUAGUUGUUUUUGUCCUUUGUGUCUUUAGUGUUUUUGUAAGUUGUUUUUGUGCUGUGUGUCUUUAGUGUUUUUGUAGUUGUUUUUGUCCUUUGUGUCUUUAGUGUUUCAGCUAGUUGUUUUUGUCCUUUGUGUCUUUAGUGUUUUAGUUGGGGUUUUUUGUCCUUUGUGUCUAGUGUUUCAGCUAGUUGUUUUUGUCCCUUGUGUCUUUAGUGUUUUUGUUAGUUGUUUUUGUCCUGUGUGUCUUUAGUGUUUUAGUUAGUUGUUUUUGUCCUUUGUGUCUUUAUUAGUUGUUAUUGUCCUUUGUGUCUUUAGUGUUUUUGUUAGCUGUUUUUGUCCUUUGUGUCUUUAGUGUUUUAAUUAGUUGUUUUUGUCCUUUGUGUCUUUAGUGUUUUUGUUAGUUGUUUUUGUCCUUUGUGUCUUUGUUAGUUGUUAUUGUCCUUUGUGUCUUUAGUGUUUUUGUUAGUUGUUUUUGUCCUUUGUGUUUUUGUUAGUUGUUUUUGUCCUUUGUGUCUUUAAUGUUUUUGUUAGUUGUUUUUGUGCUGUGUGUCUUUAGUGUUUUUGUUAGUUGUUUUUGUGCUGUGUGUCUUUAGUGUUUUAGUUAGUUGUUUUUGUGCUUUGUGUCUUUAGUGUUUUAGUUAGUUGUUUUUGUUCUUUGUGUCUUUAGUGUUUUUGUUAGUUGUUUUUGUCCUUUGAGUCUUUAGUGUUUUUGUUAGUUGUUUUUGUGCCUUGUGUCUUUAGUUUUUUUUGUAAGUUGUUUUUGUGCUUUGUAUUGUUUUGAUGAGUUAAGCCCUUUUCAACUGAUUUUUAUAGUUUGUUCCUAUGUUGUCCUGUUACACCAGUCACUGUCCCAGGUUAGGGGAGGGUUAAGUGCCCACAAACAUGUUUAACCCUGCCACAUUCUGUAUUUGCCUGUCCCAAGUCAGGAACCUGUAAUUCAGUGGUUGUUGCAACACUGUACAAGCAGUAAAUACUGCAUAUCGAAAGGCAUAGAAAUGUAUAAACUAUGUAACUGAAAAUUACUAUGUGUAGAUUACAUAAAUAUAUUUAACUAAAGGCAAUUUUCAUCAUGUUUUAACAUGUUUAAUGAAGUAACAUACUUAUUUUGUGAAAAUCAGAUUGUUUCGAUGCAAACAAGUACAGAAAGUGAAAGAAAGUACUUUAUAAAAAGUUGUUUCUUUUAAAUAACAUACAACCAAUCUGUAAAGUCCAUGCAAGAAUGGUUAAAGUGACGACACCAAAAUUCAAACUUGAUCUGUGUUUUGUGGUAAUAAGCAUUGUGUAUAAGUUUCAUAACAUUUGGUUGAGGCAAACUUAAGUUAGAGAACCAAAACUAAAAAUUUUGCAAUUUUUCCAUUUAUAAAGGGGCAUAACUCUAGAACGGUUAAAGUGACGCCACCAAAAUUCAAACUUGAUCUGUGUUUUGUGGUAAUUAGCAUUGUGUAUAAGUUUCAUAACAUUUGAUUGAGGCAAACUCAAGUUAGAGAAUGGAAACCAAUUUUGGGACGUACGGACGGACAAGGGUAAAACUUGAUGCCCCCUUCCCUACGGCGGGGGCAUAAAAAGAAGAUGUGGUAUGAUCGCCAAUGAGACAACUCUCUACAAGAGGCCACAUGACACAGAAAUUAACAGCUAUAGGUCACCGUACAGACUUCAACAAUGAGCAAAGCCCAUACUGCAUAGUCAGCUAUA